GGAAGUAAAAGUCGUAACAAGGUUUCCGUAGGUGAACCUGCGGAAGGAUCAUUACUGAUUUAGCGAACCGAGCGUUAGCGAGGUUUUGCGAUCAACUUGUAUUUAAAACCCACUCUUCAAUGUAUAAAAUUUGUAUUAAUGAUAAAUUAAAAGAUCACUUUCAACAACGGAUCUCUUGGCUCUCGCAUCGAUGAAGAACGUAGCGAAGUGCGAUAAGUAAUGUGAAUUGCAGUAUUCCGUGAAUCAUCGAACCUUUGAACGCAUAUUGCACUUUCUGGUAUUCCGGAAAGUAUGCCUGUUUGAGGGUCAGUUAAAUAAAAAUCGGUGUUGUUGCCGCUUUCCGUGGUGACGCGUCGGAAUUGAGUCGUCUUCGGUUAAGUGACUUAAAAUUUUAUAUGAUUUUCGAACGUAUUUAAAUUUAUUUGAACGUUUGAUAUCGAAUGCUUAUUAGGUUCGGUCAUCCUCAUGACUCGCGCCUAUAAUUUUUCAUUAAAUGACCUCAAAUCAGGUAAGGAUACCCGCUGAACUUAAGCAUAUCAAUAAGCGGAGGA
rnacentral:rRNA from 1 species